rnacentral:rRNA from 1 species
CCUACGGGCGGCUGCAGUAAGGAAUCUUCCGCAAUGGGCGAAAGCCUGACGGAGCGACACCGCGUGGUGGAUGACGGCCUAUGGGUUGUAAACACCUUUUCUAGGGGAAGAAGAUCUGACGGUACCCUAGGAAUAAGCCCCGGCUAAUUACGUGCCAGCAGCCGCGGUAAUACGUAAGGGGCAAGCGUUACCCGGAAUUAUUGGGCGUAAAGCGUCCGCAGGCGGAAAUAUAAGUCAGUUAUUAAAUACCGGUGCUCAUCAUCGGUGCUGUAACCGAAACUGUAUUUCUAGAGGAUGGGAGAGGUAUAUGGAAUUGUGCACGUAGGGGUAAAAUCCGUAGAUAUGCACAGGAACACCAAAAGCGAAGGCAGUAUACUGGACCAUUCCUGACGCUCAGGGACGAAAGCGUGGGUAGCAAAAGGGAUUAGAUACCCUUGUAGUC